AUCACAGUUGAGACUUGUUCUUAUCGUACACAAUUCUCAGCAAUAAGAUUGGGUUCUACCGUUGACGUAAUCGAGACAAGCGAUUUUCCAUAUUUGGAUUGAUGUGUCAUUGGUUAAGUCAUUCUGAAUUUGUAACGACGAUCAGACUCACUUUCAUUCAGUGAUGCUAGGAACAAUUUCAAGGUCGCCGUUACGUAAAGACCGUGAAUCUUCCAGUAAUAUUUGUAUUCUUGCGCUUGCACUUCGGAAUGUAACGGUGGUAGCCGUACUUUUUACAUAAAAAGAAUUCAAAAAACAAUACAAAGAACAAAAGAACGAUGGCCCAGUUUAUAACAGAAAUUAUUGACCUUCCUAGAAUAUGAACUCUGACUUUCCUUUAUCAUGCUAAGGGUGAAAUGAUAUUUCUACGAUAGUGACCUCAAUAUAUGGGUGUCAUUGAAGCUGUUGGGAUUUCCCAUUAAGAAAUUAAGAUGAGAAACACCUCAAUGUAUUCAUUUAUGUGAUUUAUAUUAAAAAAAGCUAUUUUAUUUU